rnacentral:rRNA from 1 species
CCAAUAGCGUAUAUUAAAGUUGUUGCAGUUAAAAAGCUCGUAGUUGAAUUUCGGGAUCAAGGGAUCGGUCAUGCCUUGGUAUGUACUGGUCUUAUUGGUUCUCACCUUCUAAAGAACCAUGAUGUCAUUCAUUUGAUGUUAUGGGGAAUUAGGACUGUUACCUUGAAAAAAUUAGAGUGUUUAAAGCAAGCUUACGCUUGAAUACAUUAGCAUGGAAUAAUGAAAUAGGACAUCAGAUUCUAUUCUGUUGGUUUCUAGGAUCGAUGUAAUGAUUAAUAGGGAUAGUUGGGGGCAUUAGUAUUCAAUUGUCAGAGGUGAAAUUCUUGGAUUUAUUGAAGACUAACUACUGCGAAAGCAUUUGCCAAGGAUGUUUUCAUUAAUCAAGAACGAAAGUUAGGGGAUCGAAGACGAUCAGAUACCGUCGUAGUCUUAACCAUAAACUAUGCCGACUAGGGAUCGGAUGAUGUUAAUUUUUUAAUGACUCAUUCGGCACCUUACG